AAGAGGCCAAAAAAUAAGAUUGCAUCGUGCAAAUAGGGAGAGAGUAAUUAGGUGUUAAUGAUGAUUUAAUUAACUAACUUCACAAUAAGGGGUGGGGUAAUGAAUGGCAAAGGGUAGCAAUUUUAAAUAAAGAGGGAGGGUAAAAGGGUACAAAAAGCAAAACAGGGCAUUCAAUUGUGGACACUUUUUAAAGGCCAAACAGGGCACUGAAUCAUGGACGGAUGGAGUAUUUCAUAUUAUCUCAAAUGUUUUUUCCUCACGCCUAGCUUCAGCCUUCACAUCUUUUUUCCCACAAAUUUUACACAGCCACGCUUCAGCCGUUACAUCUCUCAAAGCUUCUCUCCCAAUAUGAGUUUCCAUCAAUCUUGCCACAAAUCUCAAACAAUCGGCUCUCUAAUUGGGAGAUUCAGUCUCUCUCUGUCAAUUUCCAUGGCACAAAUUAGGGAGAUGCUUCAUCCAUGGCUGCAACAAAUUUGGGAGGUGCUUCAUCCAUGGCUGCACCCCACGCUACAGAUCCAUGAUUCAAGGCUAUUCCUCUACAAGUGGGCUUUAGAAAUUCCAGAGAGAGGGAAAAGUUGCAGGUCAUUCUUCGUCCUUGGAGCAAUAUACGGUAAUUCUUUCAACUUUGAGGUUCUGAGUUUUGUGGGAAGCUUCGAGGCUCAUUGAAGUUUAGUGCCAUGUGUGGUUUAAUGUUAUUCCAUCUCGAUCAUGGUUUUAGUUUUUUUCGUUUCUGGAGAAUGUUGUGUUUGUUUCGAUUUUUUCAAUUCUGGUCGCAUAUAUGUGAUGUGUGUCGUGGAUUUUGUCUUCAAUUUUCAAUUUAUUUAAAGAACUAACCAUGGAUAUGCUAUUGUGUACAGGUACUAUUGUUUUUCGUCUGGGGAUUCUGUUGUUGCAAGGAAAUGACGACAAGGAAUGGAAUCAUCCAAAUCAACUCCAUAGAUAAAAAAAACUUGGAAUAAAAGUGUCGUCGUUAGAAUAUUGCGGCUUUGGGUUCAAAAGGAUUUAACAGGCCGAGAAGGCUUGGAGAUGAUUUUAAUCGAUGAAUGGGGCAAUCAAAUUCAAGCAUCUGUCUCUGUUGGAAAUAAAAGGAAGUUUAUGCCUCUUUUGAGAGAGGGAGAUCCAUACACGAUCCAAAAUUUCCAAGUAAUGGACAACAAACCUAAUUUUCAGAUGGCCAAGGUCGACCACUUGUAUAUGAUUGGCUUCGGCCUUGCCACCAAAAUUGAGCAACCGGAUGAAGGCUUCGAAAUUCUGGAAAAUGAAUUUAAUUUUAUUCCCUUUACAGAUAUUCCUACACACGAUCCCACUUUCUUUUUGGAUGUUCUUGGGGAGGUUAUGACCCACACUAUUAACAUAGAUUUGGUCGAAAUGAGAACUGGCAAGGCAUCCAAGUGUGACAUAACAUUAGCCGAUGCAGAGUAUGAUUGUCUUUAUUAAUUUAUAUUUACUAUCUCUGUUAUAAACCUGUCUUUAAAACUUAUAUAGUCUGUUAUUUUUGAAAGCCUUAUUGGAUUGGAUCUGUGCUUAAAGAUAAGAUUUUUUUGGCAUUUCAUAUUGAUAUCCAGUAUUGGCAAACCACGAAAUAAAAUUG